UACGUAGGUGGCAAGCGUUGUCCGGAAUCAUUGGGCGUAAAGCGCGAGCAGGCGGCCUCUUAAGUAUGAUGUGAAAGACCCCGGCUCAACCGGGGAGGGCCAUUGGUAACUGGGAGGCUUGAGUAUAGGAGAUAAGAGUGGAAUUCCACGUGUAGCGGUGAAAUGCGUAGAGAUGUGGAGGAACACCAGUGGCGAAGGCGACUCUUUGGCCUAUAACUGACGCUGAGGAGCGAAAGCGUGGGGAGCGAACAGG
rnacentral:misc_RNA from 1 species